CAAGAACAAGAACAAGAACAAGAAGAACAAGAAGAAGAUUGAGUUUGGCCCAAAGGCAAGUUAUAAAAAUAUUUUAUUUUAUACAUUUAUUUAUAGGUACUCAUUAAUUAAAACGUUGUAAAUCUUCUUUUCCUAUGUUACUGAGAUAUUCGUAAAUUGACAGAGCUCCAACACACACAGCCACAGCAUACAGAAGCCCAUCUCCAUCCCAUCCGUGACUCGUGCCAAGGCCAGGAAUCCAUGCAAAGGAAUACCUCUGGUGAGAUUUCUGAAGAGUCCAGUCUGGAUGGUGGAAGCCUCAUUUUGCAGCCUGUCUGACUGAAACCCGGAGCUCUCUGUUUGCAUUUCAACCCCAGUCUUUUGUUUUCCACCCCUCAAGAGGUUCAACCAGUUCAAACAUCAGAAAAAUCCUCCGGUUCGUGCGGAAGGUCAGCAUUUGAGUGAAUUCUCCAUGAUGAUGAGGCCACAGAGACAUAGACUAGAGGUUCCAGUGCUAGGUUUGUUUUACCAACUUCUCAGGUACAGACUUGUGCUGUGGCAGGUCUGGAAAUCUAGGCAGCCCUCAGGACUCCCAGUCGUGCCUUCUUGGGUUCUUGGUCACCAGACUUGCUAACAGACUCUGUGGUGAGAAUAUAUCACAGGGAGUUCUGAGGCUUGGUGUCUUAGCUAGGGUUUCUAUUGCUGGGAUAAAACACCAUGACCAAAAGAAAUUUGGGGAGAGAAGGGUUUAUUUGGUUUAAAUUUCCAUAUUGUAGUCCUUCACUGAAGGAAGUGAUGACAGGAAGUCAAACAGGACAGGGUCCUAUGAAGGCAGGAGCUGAUACAGAGGCCACGGAGAGGUGCUGCUUACUGGCUUGCCUCUCAUGGCUGCUAAACUGCAUUGUAAUAGAACCAAGAACCAUCAACCCAGGGGUGGGACAACUCACGAUGGUCUGGGCCCUCUACAUCAAUCACGACUUAAGAAAAUACUCUACAGGCUUGCCUACGGUCCAGUCUUAUGAAGGCCUUCUCUCUAUCGGGGUUCCCUCCUCUCCGAUGGCUGUAGCCUGUGUCAAGUUGGCAUAAAAUUAGUGGGCACACUUGGCAAGUCAGCAUAUAGUGAAGAUGGACUCAGAGUCAAAGAGCUCCCUUGGUCAUCCCGACGCAUCCACUUGAAGCGUCUCUCCUUCCAACCUGUGCAAUGGACAACUUGGAAGGUUCUGGACAUGUUGGAGCCACCAGUCUGUAGAUGGCUUUUUUCCCAGUUGGAUUCCUGCUUCCUCUCACUUUGCUAUGUUUAGACUCCAAGGUGCUCUGUUACUGUGACAGCCCUGCCAGUCCCUUAAGCCCCCCAACCUCCCCAGUUUGUAUUUUCUACAACUCCAUCUACACAGUAACUCCACCCCUGGAGUAGUCCAGCCACCGCUUCUUCCCUUCCUCACUCCCCAUCAGUCAGGCUCCGGUGGACAUGGUGACAAAGAUCAUGGUCACCUACUCUGGUGGGCCUUGACCCCAAUAACAGUGUGGUAGUGUUUCUCUCUAACUCUCUGCAGUGGCUGUUUCAAGGCUUCUCCCUCAUUGUCAAAUGUCUAACACACCAGUCUUUCCUGAUGUUUAGGGCUCUAGACUUCCUCUAUGGCCCAGAGCGGCCUUCUUCCCUCCUGGCUCAAGGCAAGCGCCUCUCCCCUGAGGUCAACCCUGUCUGGGCUCUGCCUUCUGUCCUUGACAUCAUCCGCACAACACAUUGCUUCUCUCUCUCACACAGCACCUCAAUUCCAGGAGAAAUGCUCCUGGUAGUGCCUUCAAAAAAAUACCCCAAGCCCAGCAACUUCCCUUUAGCAUAAGAGAGGUCACCUCCAGACCUUGAUCUCUGCACUGAAUAAUGCUUCUUCCAGGCUUCCUUGGCUAGAUCGCACUACCUUCUGGGAUCAAAUCAAAGCAGGCUUCUCCUCUGUUCAAGACCCUAACUUACUCAGAGGAAAAGCCAGUCUCUCUAGGUCCACUGGGUCCUACCAAGGCUAUCUGAUACGAACUUUCCAUCAGGGUGGAAAACAGAACGUGUUUUUCUUCUGGUCAGCAGCUGAGCACUGGAAGUGUGCUGAUGUGACCAAGGAAGGGAAUCGUUUUUUCCCCUUUUGUGUUUAGACAGUCUUAUGAAUCCCAGGAAAGCCUCAAAUUCUGUUAUGUAGACAAAAAUGACCUUGGACUUCCUUUUCGUUCUUUAUUUUUUUUGAAACAAGGUCUCACUACAUAUCUCUGACUGGCCUCAGACUCAGACCCUGUGACCUUGAGCUUUUUAUCGUCCCCAGUACUAGUUUAACAGGCAUGUGCCACCACACUCGGUUUUAUGCAAUGUGGACCAAAUCCAGGGUUUUGCUCUUUGGUAUGCUCUACAAGUACACUACCUACUGAGCAGCAUACCCAGCCCUAAUUCUUUGCUUUUCAAUCGGCUGACAUUUAACCACCUGGUUCCAGGUUACCACACAAAAAAAGCACAGCCCACGUGAUCUACACACAUCUACCCUACACUGCUUUGCCAUGAUUUCCUCUACAGCUUCCAUCCUCUCAGAGAUCAGGACUGGGGCUGUGGUAGAGCGCCUAGCAUCCAUGUGGCCCUACAUCCAUCCCGAACAGUGCUGGAUAAAUAAAUGAAUGAUAGGCAAAGACAUUUCUCAUCUUUCUCUCCAACGCUUUAGGUGACCCGGAGACUCCACCCAUCCCUGACGUCAGUCCCUACCCCACGGUCUGGUCUUCCACGUCCGCUCUCCUUUAGCCCCAACACUGUCCUACUUAGAGGAGUACAUCACUGGGGCUGUUGCCUUGGGCUUAUGCUCACGCUGUUCUUUCUCCUUUGAAUACUCCCUGCCCAAUAUUGAUAAGGUCUGAUCAGCGCUUCCUCACUUCCUCCAAGCUGACCCAGGCCUACCCCAACUAAAAUGUGUCAAAAAGCAGCCUCCCACCCCAUUCUUUCCAGCUUAGCUCCCUCUGAUGUAUUUUAUCUUUGGGAGUCGGCUUUCUCCCUGGCAAGCGUAGAGUUCACAAAAUACUAACCCCCAAAUAGUCUCCAGCACAGAACAGGCACUCAAUAACAGUAAAGGUGCUGAAAUUAAUGACUGCAGGAUGGCUUCAUGGUGUAAUGAUUUCCCACACUCUCCACUCGAGCCUGGGAGGGAGCUUGUUUCUGCAGUCGCUCCUUGGGGAAGAGGUCGAGAGGGGAUUCCUUAAAUGCAGUGUCUUCACUUACACUAGGGCAGCCCUACCUCGGCCCUACUCCAGUCAGCUCUUCUCCCCAGUGCAAACAGACAGCCGAGAUCAACUGCUCAGGCUCAACUGGGGUGACCUUCGCCUGCUUCUCAUUGGUCCUCACAGCC
rnacentral:sRNA from 1 species